UACGUAGGGGGCAAGCGUUGUCCGGAUUAUUGGGCGUAAAGAGCGUGUAGGCGGCUGGGUAGGUCCGUUGUGAAAACUCGAGGCUCAACCUCGAGACGCCGAUGGAAACCCCCCAGCUAGAGUCCGGAAGAGGAGAGUGGAAUUCCUGGUGUAGCGGUGAAAUGCGCAGAUAUCAGGAAGAACACCCGUGGCUAAGGCGGCUCUCUAGUACGGUACUGACGCUGAGACGCGAAAGCGUGGGGAGCGAACAGGG
rnacentral:rRNA from 1 species